UACGAAGGGUGCGAGCGUUGUUCGGAAUUAUUGGGCGUAAAGCGCACGUAGGCGGCCUUGUAAGUCUCACUGUGAAAGCCCGGGGCUCAACCCCGGGAGGCCAGGGGAUACUGCGAGGCUGGAGACAAGCAGAGGUUGGUAGAAUUCCGGGUGUAGCGGUGGAAUGCGUAGAGAUCCGGAGGAAUACCAGAGGCGAAGGCGGCCAACUGGGCUUGUUCUGACGCUGAGGUGCGAAAGCGUAGGGAGCGAACAGG
rnacentral:rRNA from 1 species